UCGGAUUGCAGGCUGCAACCCGCCUGCAUGAAGUUGGAAUCGCUAGUAAUCGCGGAUCAGCAUGCCGCGGUGAAUACGUUCCCGGGCCUUGUACACACCGCCCGUCACACCAUGAGAGUCGGGAACACCCGAAGUCCGUAGCCUGACCGCGAAGGGGGCGCGGCCGAAGGUGGGUUCGAUAAUUGGGGUGAAGUCGUAACAAGGUAAC
rnacentral:rRNA from 1 species